AACGAAGUUGAGGGAACAGAUUAAAACCAACGUUGGAACCAUUGCCUCGGUUUGUCAGUACUGUGAGAUAACUUAGUUACUGAAGAAGCCCGGAUGCUAAAAGAAGACUUGGAGCUGCUUUUUUGUCGAACACAAAUGAGGCUGGAGGCUACACCUGCGGCGCGAAGGUUUAUUUGUUCAGCUGCUGCAGCCUGGACAGAAAUACCGGUUCUCACCUUACAAACCAAACAGGUGUCACCACUUCAUCCAUGACGUCGUCCUUGAUCGAAGAGACAUGGUCCAUGAUCAGAGAGACAUUGUCUAGGAUGAGGGAGACAUCAUCUAUGACCAGAGACAUUGUCCAUAAUCUCAGAGACAUUGCCCACUAUAACAGAGAUGUAGUCCACGAUCACACAGAGUCUUCGUACAAUGAAGUUCUUUGAGACCAGGAUAAAAUAUUGGAGUGUCACCACUUCAUCCACGACAUCGUCCACGAUCGCAGAGACAUGGUCCAUGAUCGGAGAGACAUUGUUGAGGAUGAGGGAGACAUCGUCCUCGAUCAGAGACAUUGUCCACGAUCGCAGAGACCUUGUCAAAGAUGAGAGAGACGUUGUCCAUGAUCAGAGACAUUGUCCCAUGCUUCGUAGAGACCUUGCGAUAGAAUCGGCGGAGACGGGGGUCACCGAUUUGACGGCACUGCCCGCGAUCAUGGAGACAUUGUCGAUGAUCACAGAGACGCCGUCUAUGAUCUCAGAGACAUCGUCCACGAUCACAAAGACAUUGACCAUGAUCACAGCGACUUUGUCCAUAAUCUCAGAGACAUUGUCCACGAUCACAGAGACGUAGUCCACGAUCACAGAGAGUCUUUGUAAAAUGAAGAAGUUCUUUGAGACCAGGACAGAGGCCUCCAGGUGUCACCACUUCAUCCACGACAUCGUCCACGAUCGCAGAGACAUGGUCCAUGAUCGGAGAGACAUUGUUGAGGAUGAGGGAGACAUCGUCCUCGAUCAGAGACAUUGUCCACGAUCGCAGAGACCUUGUCAAAGAUGAGAGAGACGUUGUCCAUGAUCAGAGACAUUGUCCCAUGCUUCGUAGAGACCUUGCGAUAGAAUCGGCGGAGACGGGGGUCACCGAUUUGACGGCACUGCCCGCGAUCAUGGAGACAUUGUCGAUGAUCACAGAGACGCCGUCUAUGAUCUCAGAGACAUCGUCCACGAUCACAAAGACAUUGACCAUGAUCACAGAGACUUUGUCCAUAAUCUCAGAGACAUUGUCCACGAUCACAGAGACAUAGUCCACGAUCACAGAGAGUCUUUGUAAAAUGAGGAAGUUCUUUGAGACCAGGACAGAGGCCUCCAGGAGAUGAUGACAGAGACGUAGUCCAUGAUCAUAGAGAGUCUUCGUACAAUGAAGAAGUUCUUGGAGACCAGGACAAAGGCCCCAAGGAGGAGAUGUCGACAGCAGCUGAAGACCUGCAGUGGACGAAAGAAAACGAGUGUUACAAAGCUGUUAAGUAGAUAAAAGACCCCCACCAUCUAACUGCUGUAAACCAUGUUGGUUUUCUGUUGUCUGAUUGAAAACACUUUGUUUUUCUCUACCAUCUGUAAUGUAGUCAUGGGCACGUUUUCCACGUUUUCCAUGUUUUACAGCUGUACAUACAACUAUUUAAUUAAUAAUUGUAUCACAAGCAGUUAAAUGAUCACAAAGAUGCUUAGUAGACAUGUUUAUCUUUGGAAAAUAUGCUCGUAACUACAUUAACCCAAACCAGCUCUAACAAAUGUUUCCUUGUUUUCAAAUGUCUGUCAUUAUCUAUGCUUGAUUUUAUGCUUAAUUCUUAAACUUAUGUUAAAAGGUUUUAAAUAUAUAUAGCCUUAAAUAUCUUUAAGGCUGAAUAUUUAAAGGUUUUAACUAUUUAUCAAAGCUGUUUUUUUAAGGUUUUUUGAAUACUUUAUUCUUAUUUUUUAGACCUAUGAGGUAUGGCUAUUAAAUGAUUAGAGGAUAAAAUCAAGUGGUUCACAGUCACGUCAAGUGUUAUAUGUUAAAGGUUGGGUAUUCACGCACAACUGCUGGAAGUUUCCAAUAAGUGAUGUCUUUAGUUCACUGCUAGCUACUGACUGAAGUGCACACAUUAUUGCUAAAUGAUUAGCUGAAACGCAUGAACUUGAAAUUUUAUGUAAACUUGAACAAAACAGUAACCAAAUCUUUUCGCACAUUAACUGAGGUGUGUGGGCAACACAGCAAGGUUCUGGGUGCCCACACACAUCAAAACUUCUGAAAACAUUAAAGAAAUUGAACAAAUCAUUCAAAAUGAUAGCAAAACUAGUCUCCAUUGAUAAAGAGACAUUUUGGCAAAUUUUGCAUUAAAAGUUGAACAUGACAAUUGUGUGCACCAAAAUUUCUGCGCGCUAGCUCACUCUGCGCUCUCGGUAAAGCAGUUUCUGGCCCAAAAAUAAAUCACAGUGCUUGAUUACCCUCCCUAUUCACCUGACCGAGCACUGUGUAACUUUUUUCUUUUUCCUAAGAUCAAAUCUGUGCUCAAAGGGACACAUUUUGAGUCUGUAUCAGAAGUUACUAAAAGAGGUUCUAAGACAACUGUCCUAAGACCUACUGCACUGCUUUAAUCAGUAGAAGACCUGAAUGCAGCAGUGCGUUGAUGCAGAAGGGAAGUAUGUUGAAGGAGAAAGACACUAAAAAAUGUUUAUGUUCAAUAAAAUUGUAUUACCGCAUUAGUCUUGUUCUUUAAUAGCCAUACCUCCUGUUCCUCCUAUUUGAAAUGUUGUUUUAAAAUUUCUUACUUUUAGGUUUUAUAUUCAUUUGUACACUUUUUUAAUCAUAUAUAAGGUUUUCAAUUUAUUGAAAGGGUCUCUAUUCUAUUCUAAACUAACGUUUUAUAUUUUCUGUUUUAUCUAUAUAUAUAUUGUUAAAUUUUUAUACUUAUUUUUUGCAGCUACAUUGUUGAAAAAUACUAAUUAAAACCUAUGUGUUAUGGCAGAUUUAAUUUCUUGCUAUUUAUUCCAGACGAGAUGUUUUAAAGAGUCGAACUGCAGCUGAGAUAAUGACAGAGUC